UACAGAGGGGGCAAGCGUUGUUCGGAAUUACUGGGCGUAAAGUGUGCGCAGGCGGCCGAGCAAGUCGAGUGUGAAAUCCCCGAGCUUAACUUGGGAAUUGCGCUCGAAACUACUUGGCUGGAGUGUGGCAGAGGAAGGUGGAAUUCCACGUGUAGCGGUGAAAUGCGUAGAGAUGUGGAGGAACACCGAUGGCGAAGGCAGCCUUCUGGGCCAACACUGACGCUCAUGCACGAAAGCGUGGGGAGCAAACAGG
rnacentral:rRNA from 1 species